GCUGGGCACAGUGGCUCAUGCCUGUAAUCCCAGCAUUUUGGGAGGCUGAGGCAGGAGGAUCACUUGAGGCCAGGAGUUUGAGAUCAGUCUGAAUAACAUAGUGAGACCCUGUUUCCACAAAAAAAAAAGUCUUUUUUUUUAAUUAGCUGGGCAUGGUGGCACAUGCCUGUAGUCCCAAUACUCAGUAAGCUAAGGCAGGAGUAUCACUUGAGCCCAGGAGUUCAAGAAUAGCCUGGGCAACAUAGUGAGAUCUUGUUUCU
rnacentral:sRNA from 1 species